UACGUAGGGUGCGAGCGUUGUCCGGAAUUAUUGGGCGUAAAGAGCUCGUAGGCGGUUUGUUGCGUCGGCCGUGAAAACCUGCAGCUUAACUGUGGGCCUGCGGCCGAUACGGGCAGACUUGAGUUCGGUAGGGGAGACUGGAAUUCCUGGUGUAGCGGUGAAAUGCGCAGAUAUCAGGAGGAACACCGGUGGCGAAGGCGGGUCUCUGGGCCGAUACUGACGCUGAGGAGUGAAAGCAUGGGGAGCGAACAGG
rnacentral:rRNA from 1 species